CAGGACGAACGCUGGCGGCGUGCUUCAUACAUGCAAGUCGAACGAGAAGCUGACUUCGGUCAGUGGAAAGUGGCGGACGGGUGAGUAAUAUGUAGAGAAUCUGCCCUUGAGUGGGGGACAACAGAGGGAAACUUCUGCUAAUACCCCAUAUGAGCUAACUUGAAAUAGUUAUCUUGAAAACUCCGGUGCUCAAGGAUGAGUCUGCAUCUGAUUAGCUAGUUGGCGGUGUAAUGGACCACCAAGGCGACGAUCAGUAGCUGGUUUGAGAGGAUGAUCAGCCACAAUGGGACUGAGACACGGCCCAUACUCCUACGGGAGGCAGCAGUAGGGAAUUUUGCGCAAUGGGCGAAAGCCCUGACGCAGCAACGCCGCGUGAACGAUUAAGCCCUUCGGGGUGUAAAGUUCUGUCAGUAGGGACGAAUUUUGACGGUACCUACAGAGGAAGCACCGGCUAACUCCGUGCCAGCAGCGGC
rnacentral:rRNA from 1 species